rnacentral:rRNA from 1 species
AGAGUUUGAUCAUGGCUCAGAACGAACGCUGGCGGCAUUAACACAUGCAAGUCGAACGGACCCUUCGGGGUGAGUGGCGGACGGGUGAGUAACGCGUGGGAACCUGCCCUGGGGUGGGGAAUAACCACUGGAAACGGUGGCUAAUACCGCACACGCCUUUAGAGGGAAAGACUUAGGUUGCCCUUGGAGGGGCCCGCGUCUGAUUAGCUUGUUGGUGGGGUAACGGCCCACCAAGGCUUCGAUCGGUAGCUGGUCUGAGAGGAUGAUCAGCCACACUGGGACUGAGACACGGCCCAGACUCCUACGGGAGGCAGCAGUGGGGAAUAUUGGACAAUGGGGGCAACCCUGAUCCAGCAAUGCCGCGUGAGUGAAGAAGGCCUUAGGGUUGUAAAGCUCUUUCGCUCGUGACGAUGAUGACGGUAACGAGAGAAGAAGCCCCGGCUAAUUCCGUGCCAGCAGCCGCGGUAAUACGGAAGGGGCUAGCGUUGUUCGGAUUUACUGGGCGUAAAGCGCAUGUAGGCGGCGGAUCAAGUGAGGCGUGAAAGGCCUGGGCUCAACCUGGGAACGGCGCUUCAGACUGAUUGGCUAGAGUUCGGGAGAGGGUGGUGGAAUUUCCAGUGUAGAGGUGAAAUUCGUAGAUAUUGGAAGGAACACCGGUGGCGAAGGNNNGCCACCUGGCCCGAAACUGACGCUCAAGUGCGAAACGUGGGGAGCAAACAGAUUAGAUACCCUAGUAGUCC